rnacentral:rRNA from 1 species
CCUACGGGAGGCAGCAGUGGGGAAUAUUGGGCAAUGGGCGCAAGCCUGACCCAGCAACGCCGCGUGAAGGAAGAAGGCUUUCGGGUUGUAAACUUCUUUUAAGAGGGAAGAGCAGAAGACGGUACCUCUUGAAUAAGCCACGGCUAACGACGUGCCAGCAGCCGCGGUAAUACGGAGGUGGCAAGCGUUGUCCGGAUUUACUGGGUGUAAAGGGCGGGCAGCCGGGAAGACAAGUCAGAGGGGAAAUCCCGCGGCUCAACCGCGGAACGGCAUUUGAAACUGUUUUUCUUGAGUACCGGAGAGGUCAUCGGACUUCCUUGUGUAGCGGUGAACUGCGUAGAGAUCAUAC